rnacentral:tRNA from 1 species
ACCUGGGUGGCUCAGUUGGUUGGGUGUCUGACUUCGGCUCAGGUCAUGAUCUCACAGUUUGUGGGUUCAAGCCCUGCCUCCGGCU